GGAGAGAUGGCCGAGUGGUUUAAGGCGCACGCUUGGAAAGCGUGUAUAGAAUUAUCUAUCGUGGGUUCGAAUCCCACUCUCUCCGCCA
rnacentral:tRNA from 1 species